GAUGAACGCUGGCGGCGUGCCUAAUACAUGCAAGUCGAGCGAACGGACGAGAAGCUUGCUUCUCUGAUGUUAGCGGCGGAAGGGAGAGUAACAAGUGGAUAACCUACCUAUAAGAAUGGGAUAACAUCAGGAAACCGGAGCUAAUAACGGAUAAUAUUUUGAACGGAAUGGUUCAAAAGUGAAAGAGGGUUUUGCUGUCAAUUAUAGAUUGAGCCGCGCUGCAUUAGCUCGUUGGUAAGGUAGGUGCGUGCCAAGGCAACGUGGCAUAGCAGACCUGAGAGGGUGGUCGGCCACACUGGAACUGAGACACGGUCCAGACUCCUACGGGAGGCAGCAGUAGGGAAUCGUCCGCAAUGGGCGAAAGCCUGACGGAGCAACGCCGCGUGAGUGAUGAAGGUCUUCUGAUCGUAAAACUCUGUUAUUAGGGAAGAACAGAUGUUUAAGUAACUGUGCACAUCUUGACGGUACCUAAUCAGAAAGCCACGGCUAACUACGUG
rnacentral:rRNA from 1 species